GAUGAAGAACGUAGUAAAGUGCGAUAACUAGUGUGAAUUGCAUAUUCAGUGAAUCAUCGAGUCUUUGAACGCAUCUUGCACCUGCUGGUAUUCCAGCAGGUACGCCUGUUUCAGUAUCAGAAACAACUCUUCCCCUAAGAUUUUUUUGAAUCAUAGGGGGACAUUGAGGGUAUCUGGCUUAGAAGUAAAAUCUCUAGCCCGGAGACGCUUUAAAUGACUUAAGGCCUGCAAGCCAAAGUUUGAUUGCGCCUGAACUUUUUCUUAAUUUCAAGCGAAAGCUCUUGCGAACUAGAACUUUAUUAUUGCCUUGGGGGCCUCCCAAAGAAAACUUUCAACAACUUGAUCUGAAAUCAGGUGGGAUUACCCGCUGAACUUAAGCAUAUCAAUAAGCGGAGGA
rnacentral:misc_RNA from 1 species